rnacentral:rRNA from 1 species
ACGGAAGGCAGCAGUGGGGGAUAUUGCACAAUGGGGGGAACCCUGAUGCAGCGACGCCGCGUGAGCGAAGAAGUGCUUCGGCAUGUAAAGCUCUAUCAGCAGGGAAGAAAAUGACGGUACCUGACUAAGAAGCCCCGGCUAACUACGUGCCAGCAGCCGCGGUAAUACGUAGGGGGCAAGCGUUAUCCGGAUUUACUGGGUGUAAAGGGAGCGUAGACGGCGAGGCAAGUCUGAAGUGAAAGCUCGGGGCUCAACCCCGGAACUGCUUUUGAAACUGUUUUGCUAGAGUGCAGGAGAGGCAAGUGGAAUUCCUAGUGUAGCGGUGAAAUGCUUAGAUAUUAGGAGGAACACCAGUGGCGAAGGCGGCUUGCUGGACUGUAACUGACGUUGAGGCUCGAAAGCGUGGGGAGCAAACAGGAUUAGAUACCCUGGUA